rnacentral:rRNA from 1 species
AGUGAACGCUGGCGGUAGGCCUAACACAUGCAAGUCGAACGGCAACACAGUAAGAGCUUGCUCUUACGGGUGGCGAGUGGCGGACGGGUGAGGAAUACAUCGGAAUCUACUUUUUCGUGGGGGAUAACGUAGGGAAACUUACGCUAAUACCGCAUACGACCUACGGGUGAAAGCAGGGGAUCUUCGGACCUUGCGCGAUUGAAUGAGCCGAUGUCGGAUUAGCUAGUUGGCGGGGUAAAGGCCCACCAAGGCGACGAUCCGUAGCUGGUCUGAGAGGAUGAUCAGCCACACUGGAACUGAGACACGGUCCAGACUCCUACGGGAGGCAGCAGUGGGGAAUAUUGGACAAAGGGCGCAAGCCUGAUCCAGCCAUACCGCGUGGGUGAAGAAGGCCUUCGGGUUGUAAAGCCCUUUUGUUGGGAAAGAAGAGCAGCAGGUUAAUACCCCGCUGUUCUGACGGUACCCAAAGAAUAAGCACCGGCUAACUUCGUG